UGAAUACGAGACGCUAAGGCGUCGAAGUAGUGUAUGUCAUACUUCCAAGAAAAGCUUGCACUGUCAUAGAUAAAAAACGCCUGUACCAUAACCGACACAGGUGGGUAGGUAGAGUAUACUAAGGGGCGCGAGAUAACUCUCUCUGAGGAACUCGGCAAAAUAACUCCGUAACUUCGGGAGAAGGAGUGCCUUAUUCGUAAGGUUGCAAUAACAAGAUCCAAGCAACUGUUUAUCAAAAACACAGGUCUCCGCUAAGUCGUAAGACGAUGUAUGGGGGCUGACGCCUGCCCAGUGCCAGAAGGUUAAAGAAGUUGGUUAGCAAUUGCGAAGCUGAUAACUGAAGCCCUGGUGAACGGCGGCCGUAACGAUAACGGUCCUAAGGUAGCGAAAUUCCUUGUCGGGUAAGUUCCGACCCGCACGAAAGGCGUAAUGAUUUGGAUACUGUCUCGGAGAGGGGCUCGGUGAAAUAGACUUGUCUGUGAAGAUGCGGACUACCUGCACCAGGACAGAAAGACCCUAUGAAGCUUUACUGUAACUUGAAAUUGAAAUUGGACUUUAUUCGCGCAGCAUAGGUGGGAGGCGUUGAUUAUAAUCUUGCGGGAUUAUUGGAGCCAUCAGUGAGAUACCACUCUUGUAAUGUUAGAUUUCUAACUUUGAAUCAUUAUCUGGUCAAAGAACAGUUUCAGGCGGGCAGUUUGACUGGGGCGGUCGCCUCCUAAACGGUAACGGAGGCGUACAAAGGUUUCCUCUGAACGGUUAGAAAUCGUAUCUAGAGUGUAAAGGCAUAAGGAAGCUUGACUGUGAGACCUACAAGUCGAGCAGGGACGAAAGUCGGUCUUAGUGAUCUGACGGUACUGAGUGGAAAGGCCGUCACUCAACGGAUAAAAGUUACUCUAGGGAUAACAGGCUGAUCUCCCCCAAGAGUUCACAUCGACGGGGAGGUUUGGCACCUCGAUGUCGGCUCAUCGCAUCCUGGGGCGGUAGUACGUCCCAAGGGUUGGGCUGUUCGCCCAUGAAAGCGGUACGCGAGCUGGGUUCAGAACGUCGUGAGACCGUUCGGUCCAUAUCCGGUGUAGGCGUUAGAAUAUUGAGAGGAGCCUUCUUUAGUACGAGAGGACCGAGAAGGACAUACCUCUGGUGUACCAGUUAUCGUGCCAACGGUAAACGCUGGGUAGCUAUGUAUGGAGUGGAUAACCGCUGAAAGCAUCUAAGUGGGAAGCCCACCUCAAGAUAAGUAUUCUCAUCAC
rnacentral:rRNA from 1 species